rnacentral:rRNA from 1 species
UACAGAGGGUGCGAGCGUUAAUCGGAAUUACUGGGCGUAAAGGGCGCGCAGGCGGUUGGUCACAUCGGCGGUGAAAGCCCCCCGCUCAACGGGGGAGGGUCCGUCGAGAUGGGCCGACUGGAGGCAGGGAGAGGGUCGCAGAAUUCUCGGUGUAGAGGUGAAAUUCGUAGAUAUCGGGAGGAAUACCAGUGGCGAAGGCGGCGACCUGGUCAGAUACUGACGCUGAGGUGCGAAAGCGUGGGGAGCAAACAGG